ACCUGAUUAAUAUGUAUUGCCACGAGGCCUCUGUCGCUAUCCAAGGUGCUGGCCACCUUACCUUGGUGGUUCCAGCCAACCUUCCUUACCAGGGCUAGAGUGUGAUCCUCUCUCUGCUCCCAGUGCUGUGAUGCUAUCUGCUCAUUUAACCUCUAUAUUACUAGGGUCUGCUACACCACAGGCUGCUGAUAUUAAGCUUAUGCGUUAAUACAAGGCCUCAGUUGCUUAUUUGCACCUCUGGGGUCAGUAUCUGCAGCCAGAUCGAGUUUCUCUGUCCCAGUUCUGACCUGGAAGGUAAGCCCUCUGACCCAUUUCAGCCAAGGCACUCUCUCUUUCUGCUUCUUAUGUAAACUACAUGCCAAUCCUCACACCUGUCUCCACUUGGUUUGAGACAUGAUCCCAAUUCUCACUCCUGAGAAUGUCUAAGAAAUAGUUACACAAUUCUUUUUCUACUGGAGGAGGUCCUUUGCAUGGGAGAAAGUUCAGGUUAAAAGCACAUAAUUUAUUAAUAUAUUUCCUCAGACCUAAGUUUAUACCCUAGCUUUAUUAAUGACUAAAUAUGCAAACUUGGGCAAGCUACUAAUGCCUCCGAAUCUUAGCUUCCUCAUCUCUAACAUGGGAAUAAUAAUACAUGCCUCAUAGUGUUAUUAAUAAAAUGGAAGCUAAUGUGUUUAAAAUCACUUAGUUCAUAAGCUUUUAUUGUUUUUUUAAAAGGUAUUAAUAAAUAACAGUACAGCAGUAGUCUCAUCCAUUGUCCUAGUCUGAGCUGGCCUAUCUCUCUCAUUGUGGAACAUUUCCUACCUUCUCCUACUCUCUCCUGACAGCUGCUUUUGCUGCUAAUAAAUCCUGCCUGUGAUAUCACAAUGCAUUGUAGCAGCUGGCUCAGAGUCAAGACAUCAACACAUGAAUCAGACAGGAUGAGAGGAGGAUAAGGCUAAAGACAGAGGCUCCAGCUACCUUGGUGACAAGGAAUGGAGGAGAAAAGGAACAGGAAAUUUUAAUAAGAUUAGGAGGGCUUGCUUUUCUGCCAAGUGAGCCGCUUUCACAGGAGCGAUAAAUUGGAAAUGUUAUCUGGCUUGAUAUGCCAGUUUUUCUGAGAAAAUCACUCUGCCAGUGGUGACAGAAUGGAAGAGCUGAAAACAUCUUCUUUUUUCAAAGUCAUAUGUCACGAACCAAGGAGACUCCAAAAAAUAAAUUAUGGAAGAUUAUGACCACUGCUGCCAAGGAUACAGUGAAAUAGAUCCAUUAAAGAAUUGAGAUUGCAGGACACACUACCACCCUGAAAACUGGAGAGAGGAAAAAUACAGAGAGGAAGCAGAUCAGCUUACCUGAAGCAGAGGCCGCUGGAAUCUGUGACAGGCUGCAUUUGUAACCAAGCCGUGGUCCUUUUCAUUGCAUCUUGCCAGAAUGAAGAAGAGCUGAUCUCUCCAGUUCCUGUUAUUCCCCUUACAUUGCCCACAUUUAUUGCUCAAUAAACCACAGAAAUCCUUCUGUAACCCUCGUUCUUCUCCUCUCUUCCCCCUUUCACUAUUGAAUUUAAAACUCAUGCAUUAGGCAUGUGCUUUGUGAUAUUUGUGUCACCUCUCUAAACUGUAGUGCAAAAAAGAGGAAGAAAAGGCAUCUGCUCAAAUUGACAUUUCCAUCUCGGCUCACUCAUUUGAGAGUGACAGGCUAUAAUUUGCCAACAGGUUCACAUCCAAAUGCAUAGGUUAGUGCUGACAUCAGGUGAUUUUUCCACCAUUGCCAUCUCCAGCUCAUGCAUGCUACACAGGAGGCCACGCUUAAGUCAGCAGAUAUUGCAGGGAAAAGGAAGAGAAAAAAAGGAGAAAGCUCUUGAUUUCCCUAAGCCUCUUAAUGCACCAAACACAAUGAUAUACUUAGGUCUAUUUGGUGGAGCAGGUGGGUGGGUCAGAGCAUGCAUUGGAAUGCUGUGUGGGUUGAGAAAACUGGGUUUUCUCUUAUGUGCACUCAAUCUGUGCAAACACACUUACCCUUUGACUCUGUGAGUAAACAGACUUUUUAGCCAGGAAAACCAGGAUCAAUUCCUGGCUCUGAAGACCAAGACCGAGGUGAGAGAGGAAACAUAGUUCCCUCCUGCUUCCAGUGGUCUUUCCCUAUCCAGUUACGUGCCUCCACCAGCCACAACAAGGUCCACUUGCUAUUAGACUGGUGCAAUGAAUGGCAAAAAACACAAUUACUUUUGCACCAACCUAGUAACUUGUACAUUGUCUGGCCAAGAAGAGAACGUGUUUAUUACUUUCUUUUUCUUUCUGUUUCUUUUCUCCCUAUUGCUUCUUUCAUCCUCCUCCUUCCUUCUGGAUUCAAUUUUCUUCUUGCUGGGUUAUAGCCUUUAGAGGUUCUCUCAGCAAGCAUCUCUUUGGUAGUAAAUUCUCCUAGUCUUUUCAUGGUCUUUAAUAGAAUUUUUUGGGGUAAUUUUUGCCUGUGUGCUUGCUUUCAGCAGGAGUUGGUAUUAACAGCAGUCGUGCACGUGCCUAGGUUUAGGAGGACUCCUAUUGUCUGGUUUUAUGGUUGUCUCUGCAGAGGUUCCUCACUUCCUGGCUAGCUUUUACAUUAAUUCCGUGGCUCGAAGUUUCUACCCCGUGUCAGGAGGUACAACUCAGGCUCAUCUACUACAUACACCUCAUGCAGUUCCAGGGUUCUAAUAUUUUAUGAGUCACUACUUUCCAUCAGCGAUUCAGGCAGACAUUCACUUCUGGGCUCUGUCCCAGAGCUGGAAGGGAAGUUUCUCCUCCCUGUUUACAGACUCAGCAUGUGUUUCCUGGUGCCUUACUUUACCCAGGAAUCUUCAUUCCUUCUUGUAGCCUUAUAAGGGGCCACAGACUUGAAGACAGUUUCUUUCCAAGAACAUUACAACCCCAGCCCCAGAGGGUCAAAUUCUGUUCUUUACUGAGCCUGGGAAGCCUCUUAUCAUCUCUAGAUUACCUGAGGGGCACCCUUUUUAACUUUGACCUCAGAUUCUAUUUUAUUGAAUUAAAAUUGUUUAUUUAGUAACUUUACACUUUACAGCAUAGAGAAGGUUUUGCAUAAAGUUUUGUUUUGCCUUAUUGACCAGGAGUCCUGCACUCACUUUUCUG
rnacentral:lncRNA from 1 species